AAUUUACACAACUGGCAAUAAUUGUUCAAAUAUUCCAAUAUAACCACCAAUCAAUUAUCAUGAAUAAAUGACUAUAUAAAAAUUUACAUUAUAUAUUGACCUGUCCUUGAAAAGAGUCCCUUAAGUUCUAUUUAUAGAAUUUGUAUUUCCAGUAUUACUCAUAUGCUUACUAGCUUUAUGUAUACAUACUGACACAAAGUGUAACAUUCACACACAGUAUGAUAAUGUACCACAAUUUUUGAAAAGACUAAAUGUUGAUUUGUUGUUUAUUGCAACAAAAUUUUUUUGAAAUUUACUCAGGAGUACACUAGCAAAAGAAUACAAAAUUUUAAUUGUGUUCAGAACAUUAGGCAAUGCUUUAUUUUCAUUUCUCUUCUUUAAUGGAUUUUUCUAAAUUAUUUGAAACAAAUCCUAUUUCACCAGGUCUACUGAGCAAGGCUUAGGGGCAAAACAAAACUAAUUUGUAUUGAUAAUAACAUAUCCUGGUGUGAAAAUUUUUUAAAAAUGCAUGGAUCAGUCUCUUGCCUUCCACAAAAUUUGAAAUAGUGGUUAGGUAUUUUCUAUAUCACAGGGAAUCUUCUCAACAUUAGGGGCCCUGUAAGUGUUACAAAGCCAGAACAGGACACGGGACUCCUGACAUUGUGAGGAUACUCUGUAAUAUGUUUUACGAUCUUGACAUUAAAUGAAAAUAACCAGUUUUUAGCUCACCUUCUAAAAUUCCAUUUUACUCAUUGUCGGUAUAUUUUGGAUGUGACUUCAUAAAGCUGAUUUUAUCAGACAUAGUAUUGCUCAGGUGAGCGAUGUGGCCCAUUAACCUCUUGUUUUUAAUAUAAAGAGGUGAAACUCAGUAACUCAUUGGUCUGUUUGGCUGCUUGACAGACAGAAGUUUUGAUUGUGAUUAAAAUUGGAACUUGCUUACUUUAUAUGUUUAUUUUAUUUCCUCAAUAUUUUGUUAACAUGAGCUAUUUUAUUGGAAUUGUGUAUGGAACUUCUUUUACAAUAAAAACUGUCUUCACCUUGGAGAGAAUUACAUGAAAUAUUAAUAAAUUAUUUUCCUUC
rnacentral:misc_RNA from 1 species